rnacentral:rRNA from 1 species
UACAGAGGUCCCAAGCGUUGUUCGGAUCCACUGGGCGUAAAGGGUGCGUAGGUGGUUAGGUAAGUCUGAUGUGAAAUCUCUGGGCUCAACCCAGAAACUGCAUUGGAUACUAUCUAGCUAGAGGAGUGGAGGGGGGACUGGAAUACUUGGUGUAGCAGUGAAAUGCGUAGAUAUCAAGUGGAACACCAGUGGCGAAAGCGAGUCCCUGGACACUUCCUGACACUGAGGCACGAAAGCUAGGGGAGCAAACAGG